rnacentral:misc_RNA from 1 species
AAAAAAAAACAACGUAGUUCAUUCAGUAGAAACAUUUGUAGUUUGAUUCUAGGUGAGGACUGAUCUUUGACUUGCUAAUAUGGCCUCCUGAUUCUCUUGAUCUGCAUCACCUCUACUUGCAUCUCCAUUUCUGCCACCCCUUCUAGUUCUUUUGCUCUGCUUCUUCUUGAUGCCCUUCCACCUUUGCCUUUCCUUAAACCACUUGUUGCAUUGCUGAGACCUCUAAUUUCAUUAUGCGGUAUAGUUGUGGCAUCCACUUCCCUAGCAUCCUAUAAUACAUAUUCCCAGUUUCUUCAAAAAUCCUUACCCCAAAUCCUUGGCUCACUUGUCUCUUUUCAAGUAGAGGAAUUUCACCAACCUCAACAUUGACUAGAACUAGAUUAGAUUUAUUCGUCCUUCUUCUUAAUGUAUCAGGCAAUGAUCUUGGUUUUGCUCCCAGCCUGCCUGAAAGUGGAGGUCUCCCUUUCUUCUUAAUAUUAGCUUGCUCUUAGGUUCAGGUCUCUUUGGUCUUCUACUUGACCUUUUGUUAUGUCCAUAUUCAUCAUAGUUUAUACAUUCAUCACUACAACAAAAAAGGACAUUUGAAACCGAUUAUUCGGUUUCAAAUAAGUGAAAAUUGGUUUCUAAAUACAUUUAGAAACUGA